rnacentral:rRNA from 1 species
CCUACGGGGGGCAGCAGUGGGGAAUAUUGGACAAUGGGGGCAACCCUGAUCCAGCCAUGCCGCGUGUGUGAAGAAGGCCCUCGGGUUGUAAAGCACUUUCAGUGAGGAAGAACGCCUGGUGGUUAAUACCCAUCAGGAAAGACAUCACUCACAGAAGAAGCACCGGCUAACUCCGUGCCAGCAGCCGCGGUAAUACGGAGGGUGCGAGCGUUAAUCGGAAUUACUGGGCGUAAAGCGCGCGUAGGUGGCUUGAUAAGCCGGUUGUGAAAGCCCCGGGCUCAACCUGGGAACGGCAUCCGGAACUGUCCAGCUAGAGUGCAGGUGAGGAAAGUAGAAAUCCCGGUGUAGCGGUGAAAUGCGUAGAGAUCGGGAGGAAUACCAGUGGCGAAGGCGGCCUUCUGGACUGACACUGACACUGAGGUGCGAAAGCGUGGGUAGCAAACAGGAUUAGAUACACUGGUAGUC